ensembl:lncRNA
AAGAGUUUGAGUAAAGUAAACUAAGUGAUGUUAUUUGUGACAUUUUUUGUCUUGGAAACUAUUGCUUCUAUUUAAGAUUAGGAAUCCUUUUAUCCAUAAUCUGUUUUUCAUUAGGGCACUUGACUUUCUGGAUAAAAGGUGUCGAGGUGUGUGGUACAUUCCAUUAGCUUUGCACAGUUCAAUUAUUGUUUCAUUAAUGAAUAUGCAAUCUCUGCAGUGAAAUUAAAGCUGUUAUGUUUGUUCCCCCAGCUCGUCAAGUACUAAGCUUUACACCCCUAGCAGCAAAUUUACCCUGGCAGCAUAUGAGUGAAAACGCUGGAGUUAGGAGAAAUUCAUCGCUUUGUUAUUGGCCCUUGGACGCCCCUGGCAUCUCGUGUACAGCACAAAGUUUUCAGCUAUGAAGAUUUCCAGCGACUCCAGAAUGAAAACCAAGCUCUGAGGGAGGAGAACCAAGCCCUGAGGGAAUGCAAUGCACAAGCAGCUUCGGAUGACAGCGGCUCACUUCAAGAGCAGGUGAAGCAAGUAGGGACAAUGUUGAAGACAUUGGUGCGUUACCUGAAAGGAGCAUCUGACCGUGAAGGCAGAAAAAGCGCCGCACAGCUGAGAGGGACCCACAGCCGACCCCUUACACCUUGGCUGACUACUGGCACCCCAGCAUCACUGAACUGGAACACUUUCUUUAUCCUGCAGUCAGUAACAUCAAGAAGCCAGAAAUGCCAGACUACACUCACCAAACCCACCCUGUUCACUGUGGAUGUUUUUUUUGUUUGUUUGUAUUUUAACUUUAGUAUUGGCUUAUUUCCUUC